AAAGUCUCUCUCUGUCUCUCUCCGGUAGCAUUCAUACAGCAGCUUCCAGUCUGCAGCCGGCUCGGUGUGUUAACUCCGCAUCUGACCUCCAUGGGAACAGCCUCCCCUCCGCCCCUCUCCUCCCGCCAGGCUGUGGGAAACAAGGGGGGACAGAUCCUGAUUUUUUACCCCACUUUCAGGCGGAGCAGGACUUGGACUUCUGAAGGAUUUCUUGGAUCUGAGAUGUGAAAUAGUUAGUUUGUUGGUAAAUCAGAGGAAACGUUGACUUGAAUUAAAGGUAUUAAGUCAACAGAUUGUAUUAGGUCAGUAGAAAGGGAGAAUAUUCAGUUGAACCUAUUUGUUUUUCUUUCAACUAACCUAAUACAGUUAAGUGAAAUCUGUGGACACAUUUAAUUAAAGUCAACGUUUCAGUUUUCCAGGGUAGGGUCACCUCUCUGCAUAUCCUCAUCUGAACCCUUGAGGUGAUUCACCAAAUCGGACCUGUGGGCACGGAUUGGCCCAAAGUUCAACAGAUGUUUCCUCGGCCCGUGAUGCAACUUUUCACCAACUUUUAUGAAAAUUGGGCAAGUAGUUUUUGCAUAAUCCUGCAAACAGACACAGACCAAGCCAAAGCCAAAUAUCCUUAACAGAGGUAAUGACAAAUGGCAAAUUACACUUUGCUUUGAGGUCACAGGUUAUAAAAUUGAUACGGCCAUAAUGACUGUUGAAUCUACAGGAAGACUUAACCCUGUAGCCACCUAGCGUAGCAUAAAAACAGAUUUUUGAAGUUGUACAAUUCCUUGUGUUUAUUUCUCAGUUCUGAGCAGCUCUUAGUAAACCAGAUGAGACAUGCUUUAAGAAAUACAAACGGUUAUAAGAAGCAGGAAAACAACUGGACUAAAUGUUAAUUCCCUACACACAAAGAAACUCCACAUAUGGUUCACUAAAUCAUUAUGACUCAGGUGAGAAGACAAGCUGAUGAUUAAGGGAGCGAUGAAGGAGAGGCUGUUGAGACGAACCUCCUCCUCCUCCUCACUGCUCGACUACAGUCCUGUCAUUAUUCCUUCCCCGGCAUGGUGGGCCUGGAAUUUUCCCUGCAGAACAGAAUAAACAACAACAAUGGAAGAUAAUAACACACACAGACGUUCCCAUUUUUCAACCAGGCAGUGUUUCCUUGUGCACCGAUCCAACGGGAAGACAAAUCAAACACACCUCUCUGACCUAACGCUAAUGUGAAGCAGACUAAACAUGAAGACCUUUUUAAGGAAACACUGGAAACACUCAUUACGAUCAGUUGUUCUCAUGCUAUACGUCUUUUUGACUUCAAAUAAAAACAGAAUAUUUGUAUGAUCUUGAUUGCAAAGGAGUUCCAAAAGAAAAGACAUUGAGUGGUUUGCAGAUACCUCUGGAAAGAGACAGUCAUUUUCACGGGUUCCAGUGUUUGUGGCUAAGCUAACUGAAUAAAGCCUAUUAGUACACUCA